CGCAGCCGCGGUAAUUCCAGCUCCAAUAGCGUAUAUUAAAGUUGUUGCGGUUAAAAAGCUCGUAGUUGAAUUUCGGGAUCAAUACGUCGGUCGUGCUUAGGUACGUACUGGCGUAAUUGAUUUCUCCCUUCUGACGAACCAUGAUGUCAUUAACUUGGUGUCAUGGGAAAUCAGGACUGUUACUUUGAAAAAAUUAGAGUGUUUAAAGCAAGCUAACGCUUGAAUACAUUAGCAUGGAAUAAUGAAAUAGGACGUUCGAUCCUAUUUUGUUGGUUUCUAGGAUUGACGUAAUGAUUAAUAGGGAUAGUUGGGGGCAUUAGUAUUCAAUUGUCAGAGGUGAAAUUCUUGGAUUUAUUGAAGACUAACUACUGCGAAAGCAUUUGCCAAGGAUGUUUUCAUUAAUCAAGAACGAAAGUUAGGGAUCGAAGACGAUCAGAUACCGUCGUAGUC
rnacentral:rRNA from 1 species